CAGGCGUGAGCCACCGUGCCCGGCCAAUAAUUUUUAAAACUACAAAAGUGUCCUAAGACUGCAGAGUAUGGGCACUGCUGCCUGGGAGGGCAUGGCUGCCAGAGUGAAAGUGGUAUUCUAACUGACCAGAGUUCACUCCAGAGACCUCUGAGGGAGCUGGGAUGUUGAGAGGUAAAUUUUCCAUUAGAAAAAAAAUUUUUGUCUUUUUUUGUUUGUUCUGAGACAGAGUCUCACUCUGUCACCCAGCCUGGAGUGCAGUGGCGUGAUCUCCGCUCACUGCAACCUUUGCCUCCCAGGUUCAAGCGAUUCUCUUGCCUCAGCCUCCAGAUAGCUGGGAUUACAGGCGUGCCACAAUGCCUGGCUAAUUUUUUGUAUUUUUAGUAGAGAUGGGGUUUCACCAUGUUGGCUAGGCUGGUGGUCUCAAACUCCUGACCUCAGGUGAUCUGCCUGCCUUGGCUUCCCAAAAUGUUGGGAUACAGGCAUGAGCCACCGUGCCCAGCCUUAUUUUUUUUUUUUUCUUGAGACAGAGUCUUGCCCUGUUGCUCAGGCUGGAGUGCAGUGGCACAAUCUUGGCUCACUGCCAACUCCGCCUCCUGGGUUCACACCAUUCUCCUGACUCAGCCUCCCAAGUAGCUGGGACUACAGGUGCCCACCGCCAUGCCCGGCUAAUGCUUUUUUUUUUUUUUUUUUUUUUUUUUUUAGUAGAGACGGGGUUUCACUGUGUUAGCCAGAAUGGUCUUGAUCUCCUGACCUCGUGAUCAGCCCGCCUCAGCCUCCUAAAGUGCUGGGAUUACAGGUGUGAGCCACCACGCCCGGCUUGUUUUUUGUUUUUUAACAGACAGGGUCAACCUCCAACUCCUGGACUCAAGCAGUUCUCCCACCUCAGCCUCCCAAGUAGCUGAGACUACAGGUUUGUGCCACCAUGCCUGGCUCUUUUU
rnacentral:lncRNA from 1 species